GAUGAACGCUGGCGGCGUGCCUAAUACAUGCAAGUCGAGCGAACGGACGAGAAGCUUGCUUCUCUGAUGUUAGCGGCGGACGGGUGAGUAACACGUGGAUAACCUACCUAUAAGACUGGGAUAACUUCGGGAAACCGUAGCUAAUACCGGAUAAUAUUUUUAACCGCAUGGUUCAAAAGUGAAAGACGGUCUUGCUGUCACUUAUAGAUGGAUCCGCGCUGCAUUAGCUAGUUGGUAAGGUAACGGCUUACCAAGGCAACGAUGCAUAGCCGACCUGAGAGGGUGAUCGGCCACACUGGAACUGAGACACGGUCCAGACUCCUACGGGAGGCAGCAGUAGGGAAUCUUCCGCAAUGGGCGAAAGCCUGACGGAGCAACGCCGCGUGAGUGAUGAAGGUCUUCGGAUCGUAAAACUCUGUUAUUAGGGAAGAACAUAUGUGUAAGUAACUGUGCACAUCUUGACGGUACCUAAUCAGAAAGCCACGGCUACCUACGUG
rnacentral:rRNA from 1 species